UACGUAGGGUGCGAGCGUUGUCCGGAAUUAUUGGGCGUAAAGAGCUUGUAGGCGGUUUGUCGCGUCUGCCGUGAAAAUUCGAGGCUCAACCUCGAACUUGCGGUGGGUACGGGCAGACUAGAGUGUGGUAGGGGAGACUGGAAUUCCUGGUGUAGCGGUGAAAUGCGUAGAUAUCUGGAGGAACACCGGUGGCGAAGGCGGCAUCCUGGACCACGACUGACGCUGAGUGAGCGAAAGCCAGGGGAGCAAACGGG
rnacentral:rRNA from 1 species